rnacentral:rRNA from 1 species
AGAGUUUGAUCCUGGCUCAGGACGAACGCUGGCGGCGUGCCUAAUACAUGCAAGUAGGACGCACAGCCUAUACCGUAGCUUGCUACACCAUAGGCUGUGAGUUGCGAACGGGUGAGUAACGCGUAGGUAACCUGCCUAUUAGAGGGGGAUAACUAUUGGAAACGAUAGCUAAUACCGCAUAACAGUAUGUAACACAUGUUAGAUGCUUGAAAGAUGCAAUUGCAUCGCUAGUAGAUGGACCUGCGUUGUAUUAGCUAGUAGGUAGGGUAAUGGCCUACCUAGGCAACGAUACAUAGCCGACCUGAGAGGGUGAUCGGCCACACUGGGACUGAGACACGGCCCAGACUCCUACGGGAGGCAGCAGUAGGGAAUCUUCGGCAAUGGGGGGAACCCUGACCGAGCAACGCCGCGUGAGUGAAGAAGGUUUUCGGAUCGUAAAGCUCUGUUGUUAAGGAAGAACGAGUGUGAGAAUGGAAAGUUCAUACUGUGAC